rnacentral:RNase_P_RNA from 1 species
GGAGUGGGCCAGGCGUUCGCGCGCCGUGUUCUUUGACAUGGCGUGAGGAAAGUCCGAACUGGGCAGGGCACGGUGGUCGCUAACGGCGACCCGGGGCGACCCGAGGGAUAGUGCCACAGAAAAGACACCGCCGAUGGAGCCGUUCUUGCAUGAGAUGGUUCACAGGUAAGGGUGAAAUGGUGCGGUAAGAGCGCACCGGGCGAUUGGUGACAAUCGUCGCACGGUAAACCCCACCGCCAGCAAGCCCAAAUAGGCAGCGAGUUCGCCUCGGCGAACGGGAGGCGGCCCGUCUCCUUCGAGUUGCGGGUAGGGCGCAUGAGCCGUCCAGCAAUGGCCGGCCUAGAUGAAUGAACGCCCC